rnacentral:misc_RNA from 1 species
ACAGUAAUAAAAAAAACUUAGAAUCAAAAUAGUCUGGAGUUUCUCCAUACCAUAAAGAUCAACUAAGAUUGUAUCAUGAAAGAAUCCUGCUGGAGACAUUCUGAAAACACCCACUUUAACUCUUGUCUCCGAUAUAUUGGAAGAAAUAAAGUUCAUAUGUUGGACCGUAGGGAUGGGGACUUGGAGGGGGUUUUAUUUUUCAUUUUGCAUUUUAUGCUCAUUUUCUAACAAUGUGUUUAACAGUGCAUGUCCAAUUCUGUAAUCACAUACAUGUUAGCCUAUGAUGGCUGCAUGUCAUUUGGAGUUGGGAAAAAUGAUGGGUCGGUAUAAUGCAUAUGCAGUGUAAUGUCUUGAUGAGUAUAAGAAGCAAAAGAAAACAGAUAAAUCAGGCAAAGCACAAAAUUCCAAUAGGUUGCCAAAAUAACAUACAAUAAAACAACACUAUAUUAUUACCUUGUCUGUAUGAUGCUCCAA